UAUUGUUAUAGACAUUUAAUAUUACGUGACAUAGUAAUUGGUAAAUAUAUUUUUAGGGGUGAUAGGCCUUUUAAAUUUAUUGAUAGCUUGAUACGUAAUAAAAUUAUUAAGUACAAAGUCAUACUAUGAAAGUUAAGUUUUAUAGUGGUAAUUAAUUUAGGGAAAAUAAUAUAUUAUAGUUUAAUAGCUAAUUAAUAGUAAUAUAAAUAUUUUUUUCUUAAUUUUAUUUAAUACAUUACGUUAUUUUUACUUGAGUAUAUAUUAAUAAUGUUAAUAUAAGUAAUAUUUAUAAAUAAAUUAAAGGAACUCGGCAAUUACAUUUUUCAACUGUUUAUCAAAAACAUAACUAUAUGGUCUUGUAUAUAGCUGUUCCUGCUCAAUGAUUUUAAAUAGCCGCAGUACCCUGACUGUGCAAAGGUAGCAUAAUCAGUUGGCUUUUAAUUGGAGUCUAGAAUGAAUGGAUUUUUGGAAAAUAACUUUCUCUUUUUAUUUUUGUGAAAUUAGUUUGUAAGUGAAAAUACUUACGUAUAUAUAAAGGACGAGAAGACCCUAGAAAUUUAAAUAUUAUUUUGUUGGGGCGACAGAAUUACAAAAAACUAAUUUGAUUUACGUGACGUUUUUACAGAUCGAUUAAAUUACUCUAGGGAUAACAGCAUAAUUUUUAUAGUUUGUGACCUCGAUGUUGGACUAGGAUAUUAAACGGUUUAGAAGAUCUUUAAUAAUGCUCUGUUCGAGCU
rnacentral:rRNA from 1 species